rnacentral:lncRNA from 1 species
CCAUUGAUAUGAUUUCUUGAAAAGCUUCAAUACAGAGAAGCUUCAGUACAAAGAAGCUCCUGCGUGGUCGCCCAUUUUUACUAGCACUGCGCAACCGGCCAAGUCGAGCACACACACAAGGAAAAAAAAGUGAAGUACAUGUUUUGAAAAAUUUGUAUGUUUAAAGACAUAAACCUCAUAUGUUCAGGAAAAGAGUUUCAAAACAUUUUUGUGCUAUUUACUUCAGAGUUUGUCCGCUGUUUCAACUUUUGUUUUAACCUUUUUGUUUCUAAACUCUGCAUCUUCUAUGUUUACAGAUUGUUGGCAUGAUUCUUGAAUUGGGGACUGGAGUUCAAGUAUUAAAUCCAGGCAAGUUCAACAAAUAAACCGCAUCAAGUUCUUGUUUAUUUAGCAAUAUAUAAGUUUACUGUGCAAAAAGCAGUGGUUCAAAUAUGAAAGAAGAAUAUAAAAGGUCCAACAUGCGCAUGUUGCCAGUGCCCCUAGUAGGCCUCCGCCUCCGGUUGCCAGUGCAGCUCACGGCUCCUGUACUCCUCCAUCAUGUGCACGGUUGCUGCUCUCCUCUGCUUUCUCUCUCUCUUGCAUGAUGUUGCUGCUCCUCUCAAAUCUCUCUAGCUCUAUUAAUUCAUGAUGCUGCCUCAUCUCUGAAUUGUUGUGGUGACGCUGAGGUUUUGUUGUCACCCACAGGAUCACUGCCUCCGUGUCCACAUUCAGAUGUGCUGCAAGUUCAAUUGUUUCAGUUCGAGCGGGUGCACAAAACACAAUGUUCUAGUCCGUACUGUCCACAUGUGCUGCAAGUUCAAUUGUUUCAGUUUGAACAUUUGCUACCCUAGUCAUUUGUUUGUUGCUAAAAUGUCGGAGUCGCACUUCUCAUUCUUGAAUGAAUUUUUUCUAUACCAUCGUCUUUAUUUCUAAAUGUAAGUCACUUUUUUUUGCCGUCAGGUGUUUGCUUAAAUGCCUAAACAAAGAUCUAUUUUAGUUCAGUUCAAAUUCUAGUUUUAGUUCAGUGCAAAUCUUAUUUUAAGUUCAGUACAAUUUCUUAUUUUAGUGUGAGCAGUCCUUCAAAUGUCUUGCCUUAUAUUACUGCUAUGUCAGUACAUAGAACAAAAAAAAAUUACAACAAAUUGACAAUGUUUAAUCUCUUCUAUGUUAGUAUAGGCUACAUGUAUACAACAUUUAAUCUGUAGUAGUAGUAGCAGUCUUGCUAUGUAAGGGAGCAGCCGAACUCCAGUAAUUUGUGAGAAAAUCACUUUGGAUACAUGAGUGCAGGAUUAAUACAUUAUUAAUUAUUGCAGGUGGUCAGACCUUAGAAGCCACUUGCAGCCGCACUUGCCGGCACCCGCGACGCGCCACCCCACCGCCCCCCAAGGCACGCCGUCCCACGGUCCGCUGGGCGCGGCGUCCUCCCGAGCUCCGCCUUGCGCAGCUGCUCCUGCUCUGCCUUCCAGGUGACCAAUGUGUCUGCCUCCGUGCGCUGCGUGGAUGAGCGUGUUAUGGAUCCGAACGAUCUACCUAAUCUGAACAGUAGGGAAGGUGCAUCAUGUACACUAUGGUGCAUCAAAUUCCGCAUCAAUCUGAACAAUAGGGAGCAUGUUAUGUCAUUCAUGUAUGAAAAUGUGCGGUAUGUGCGGUGUAUAUGUGGAAAAUUUUCUGUCUGAUGAUAUAAUUGCUACUUCUUGAAAGAAGGUAUACAUGACAGUUUGAUGUGUGUACAAGAAUGAACAAAAUGGUUUGAAUUAAAAACAUUGAUC